UGGUAAUAAGAGACUAAGUCUGGUGUAGUUAUAAGAGAUUUGGUUCUGGUGUGGUUAUAAGAGACCAAGUCUGGUGUGGUAAUAAGAGACCAAGUCUGGUGUAGUUAUAAGAGAUUUGGUUCUGGUGUGGUUAUAAGAGAUUUGGUUCUGGUGUGGUAAUAAGAGACCAAGUCUGGUGUAGUUAUAAGAGAUUUGGUUCUGGUGUAGUUAUAAGAGAUUUGGUUCUGGUGUAGCUAUAAGAGAUUUGGUUCUGGUGUGGUAAUAAGAGACCAAGUCUGGUGUAGUUAUAAGAGACCAAGUCUGGUGUAGUUAUAAGAGAUUUGGUUCUGGUGUGGUUAUAAGAGAUUUGGUUCUGGUGUGGUUAUAAGAGACCAAGUCUGGUGUAGCUAUAAGAGAUUUGGUUCUGGUGUGGUUAUAAGAGAUUUGGUUCUGGUUUGGUUAUGAGAGGGCUGGAUCUGUUGUAGUAAUGAGAGUUUUUUUGUUUGUGAACUUAUAAGAGAGUUGAUCCUGGUGUAGUUAUACGAGAUUUAGUUUUGGUGAAGUUCUACGAGAUUUAGUUUUGGUGUUGUUAUAAGAAAGCUGGUUCUGAUUUAGUUUUAAGAGAACUGGAAACUGAAGCUACACAUUGUGUUACACUUAGAGGCUCUCAUUAGUAUAUGGAUUUUAUAAUCUGCAUAAUUUAAAUGUCACAAAAUUUGAAAAGAUGUGCAAUUUUGAGGAAAUAGGUAUAAAAAAACGAAAUAGGUAUAAAAAAAACUACAGGUAUACAAUGGAGUGAAUAUGUUUCUAAUCAAAUGCUUUAUUGUUACUUCAAUUUUUUUGUUCCUGUCUUGGUUAUUUUUUAAGUUGACUGUGAUUAGUGUCAAAUUCACUGCCUUUGAUUUUUUCUGCAAAUAAUUCUAAAAUAACCUUGAUUUACAUGUUCUUGUAUGAGAACAUGCAAGUUUGCCCCAGAACAACGAUUUCUUUGAUCUUGUGUUUAGGAAUUUUAUGUUGUCAUUUACAUGUUCUUGUAUGAGAACAUUCAAGUUUGCACCAGGACAACGAUUUUUUUUAUCUUGUGCUUAGGAAUUUUAUAUUGUUAUUUAUGUGUUGUUACUGUGACCUGUUUUAAAUUACUCUGUUACAUCGUGAUCUGUGUCUAGUUAACAUCAGAACAAAUUGAUAUAUUACACAACAGGACUCGGUUUCGACAAUGUUCCUGAACUUCAGGAAAAUCCUUCAAGUUUUCCUUCGGAAAUAACUACAGAGUUAAUGGAAAGUUUCUGUAAUGAAGAUUUCAUCCUGAAUUCCAAUAUUACUUUCCUGAUGACAAAGUCAAGUUUUGGAAUUUCCUCAUGUUCAGGGACGAUGAUGGAACCAGGAACCAACCUUAUAUUACAAUGUUAAUUUCAUAUGUUUCUCGCAUAUCAAUUUGUGAAAAAUGCAAAAAAAUCCAAUGGAAUGUAUCCUGGAACAUCAACUUUACUGUUUACUGUAAAGGUUACUGACUAUGGCAUGUAGAGGUACAGGACCUGGAGUAGACUACUCUGUUGUAGUGUAGAUAAUGACGUGUUUUAUGUCGUGAGAUGAGCUAGUCAUAUCAGUUGCUUCUGUUAAGUGUAUGUUUGCAUUCUGUGAUAAUGGUCAACUCCAAUGUAAUAUACUUUUAACACCGUUGUAUAUCUACAACUAUAAAAACCUGUAUUUUAUUUAUAAAUAAAGUGACAUGUAAACAAAA